CUUGCCAUCUCACCCGAGCUAGGGGCAGGGGGACACGAGAGGGGGGGGUGGCAAAGGCCACAUGCAGACUGCAGGCUGGACCGAGCACUUGGACUCGAACUUGUGUGCCAGGAGGGGCCCCCACCCCUCCCCUUUCGGUUUCCUCUUGUUUUGUUUUCUAUUAUUAUUUUUAUUACGAAGUUUCAUUCUUGUUGAGAAAAAAAACAACGAACUUUUUGUAUCGAUGAACAAAAUAUUCACAACUUGGGCAGUUGUGAUGCGAAUUGAACAAAAAAACCAAACACUUAAACUUUUUUUUUUUUUAGGUCUCAGAGGAGUUUGGGACUUUAGGGGAAAAAAAAUCAACCCAGCACCAGCAGCUACCAACCACCAUUCCAUAUCCUCACUUGAAAAGCAUUAGUUACAGUCCAGAUGUGGGAACUCUUGAAAGAAGUUCCUUAUUGUGUUUGUCUCAGACCAGUGUAAACAAACCAGCCAAGCCACCACCUUGUUAAACCUAUUCAGGUCCAGUCGGGCCAUUGUGCCAGGAUUUUAUUGAGCACCUACUGGAUGCAACACGUUGUGAAGAUGGAAAUGCAGGCAGGAGGCAUGUAUUGCUGAGGGCCAGAGGUGGUGUGAUUCAGAGUUGCUGGCAGGUCCCCCUCACUGCCCUGGGGUUCAGUCCACGUAUCACAGGGCUCAUGCCCACAAGAUUGGAAUGCCUUGAAGAUCCUCAAAGUGACUCUUUAUGGAGCCCCUAUUAUGCACUAAAGCUUUAUGUAUGUUAAUAACAACCUUUAUAUCUACUACACAAGACUGAGGGACUACUGCUGCCCCUGUUUCAAAGAUAAGGAAACUGAGCUCAGAGAAGUUACAUGCCCGAGGCCAAGCGGCUGGGGAAAGGCUGAAGUAGAAUUCAAAGGAAUCUAAACUGUUGCUCCUUCAGAUGGCCCCAGGCUGCCUCUCUGACUCCUCUCUCCCUGCCUCCCUCCCACACUGUCUGUAAACUCAGAUUUCCACAUCUGUGCUUUAAAAACACAAUUACUUCAAGCCAUUCUUUGCUCAAAAUCCUCACUGAGAAUAAAAUCUAAAGUCUUCGCAAGGCCAACCUAUGAA